rnacentral:rRNA from 1 species
GGGCCCGCACAAGCGGAGGAGCAUGUGGUUUAAUUCGAUGAUACGCGAGGAACCUUACCUGGGCUUGAACGUAUAUUGCAUGAUUGUGAAAGCGAUCUUUCUAGCGAUAGACUAUAUACGAGGUGCUGCAUGGCUGUCGUCAGCUCGUGCCGUGAGGUGUUAGGUUAAGUCCUGCAACGAGCGCAACCCCUGUCUUUAGUUGCCAGCACGUCAUGGUGGGGACUCUAGAGAGACUGCCUGCGCAAGCAGAGAGGAAGGUGGGGAUGACGUCAAGUCAGCACGGCCCUUACGUCCAGGGCUACACACGUGCUACAAUGGCCGGUACAGAGGGCAGCGACCUGGUGACAGGUAGCGAAUCUCCAAAGCCGGUCUCAGUUCGGAUCGGAGUCUGCAACUCGACUCCGUGAAGCUGGAUUCGCUAGUAAUCGGAUAUCAGCAAUGAUCCGGUGAAUACGUUCCCGGGCCUU